AGUUUGAUCCUGGCUCAGGAUGAACGCUAGCUACAGGCUUAACACAUGCAAGUCGAGGGGCAGCAUGGUCUUAGCUUGCUAAGGCUGAUGGCGACCGGCGCACGGGUGAGUAACACGUAUCCAACCUGCCGUCUACUCUUGGCCAGCCUUCUGAAAGGAAGAUUAAUCCAGGAUGGGAUCAUGAGUUCACAUGUCCGCAUGAUUAAAGGUAUUUUCCGGUAGACGAUGGGGAUGCGUUCCAUUAGAUAGUAGGCGGGGUAACGGCCCACCUAGUCAACGAUGGAUAGGGGUUCUGAGAGGAAGGUCCCCCACAUUGGAACUGAGACACGGUCCAAACUCCUACGGGAGGCAGCAGUGAGGAAUAUUGGUCAAUGGGCGAUGGCCUGAACCAGCCAAGUAGCGUGAAGGAUGACUGCCCUAUGGGUUGUAAACUUCUUUUAUAAAGGAAUAAAGUCGGGUAUGCAUACCCGUUUGCAUGUACUUUAUGAAUAAGGAUCGGCUAACUCCGUGCUAGCAGCCGCGGUAAUACGGAGGAUCCGAGCGUUAUCCGGAUUUAUUGGGUUUAAAGGGAGCGUAGAUGGAUGUUUAAGUCAGUUGUGAAAGUUUGCGGCUCAACCGUAAAAUUGCAGUUGAUACUGGAUGUCUUGAGUGCAGUUGAGGCAGGCGGAAUUCGUGGUGUAGCGGUGAAAUGCUUAGAUAUCACGAAGAACUCCGAUUGCGAAGGCAGCCUGCUAAGCUGCAACUGACAUUGAGGCUCGAAAGUGUGGGUAUCAAACAGGAUUAGAUACCCUGGUAGUCCACACGGUAAACGAUGAAUACUCGCUGUUUGCGAUAUACGGCAAGCGGCCAAGCGAAAGCGUUAAGUAUUCCACCUGGGGAGUACGCCGGCAACGGUGAAACUCAAAGGAAUUGACGGGGGCCCGCACAAGCGGAGGAACAUGUGGUUUAAUUCGAUGAUACGCGAGGAACCUUACCCGGGCUUAAAUUGCACUCGAAUGAUCCGGAAACGGUUCAGCUAGCAAUAGCGAGUGUGAAGGUGCUGCAUGGUUGUCGUCAGCUCGUGCCGUGAGGUGUCGGCUUAAGUGCCAUAACGAGCGCAACCCUUGUUGUCAGUUACUAACAGGUGAUGCUGAGGACUCUGACAAGACUGCCAUCGUAAGAUGUGAGGAAGGUGGA
rnacentral:rRNA from 1 species